rnacentral:tRNA from 1 species
UCCCAUAUUGUCUAGUGGUUAGGAUACCUGGCUCUCACCCAGGAGGCCCGGGUUUAAUUCCCGGUAUGGGAA